CACGUAGGGGACGAGCGUUGUCCGGAUUCAUUGGGCGUAAAGCGCGCGUAGGCGGCUCGGAAAGUCGGUCGUGAAAUGCCGGGGCUCAACCCCGGGACUGCGUCCGAUACUCUCGAGCUGGAGGCAGGUAGGGGAGAUCGGAAUUCCUGGUGUAGCGGUGAAAUGCGCAGAUAUCAGGAAGAACACCUAUGGCGAAGGCAGCUCUCUGGGACGGUACUGACGCUGAGACGCGAAAGCGUGGGGAGCAAACAGG
rnacentral:rRNA from 1 species